rnacentral:tRNA from 2 species
AACAAAGAAGUAAAAAUUACAUUUAGUUUCGACCUAAAAUUAAGGAUAAACCUCAUGUUU